rnacentral:sRNA from 1 species
GCCACGAGUUUGAGUUGCAUGCGGUUGACGGCGAGCGAAACGACGAAUAAUAACGGUAAAGAUGUAGUACUUUUUGGAUUUCGCAGCCGGUCGAACACGAAAAUCGGCGCCGUUGUCGCGCCGUGUAAAAAAUGUGAGCGAAAACAGCUAAAUAAAUUUGUAAAAAAUAUAGAAAAUACAAAUCGCGCCGCCCAACCGAAUAUCUGCAAUUGAAUUUCAAUGCAAGUGCUUGCCAUCUGAAAUAUAGUCAUUUCAAAGAAGUGAGUGUGUGUGCAAUCCAUGUUUUUUCUGUGUGCAAAGUUCAAAGGCAAAAGCAAAAAGAAAAGGCAAUAGCAAGUAGCAAAAGCAAAGGCAAAAGCAAAAUCAAAUCUAAAUCAAUGUAAUCUAAAUCAAAUGUUAUUUGAAAACCCAACAUUAUGAUUAAAUUCGCCUCAAAUACAAGCAAUAAUAAAUAAUAUAAAUAAAUACCGAAAGUAAAAAGUUCAACAUCUAGUAAAGAAAGCAAACAAACCUUAAAAACACUUGCAUUAACGAAAUCGUAGCCAUUAGCUUUAACAAAAUCGCGUAAAAAUUUUGAGCAGAACUUAGCAAGCCUAUAAAAGUACGCCUUCCAAUAGUUAUUAUAUAUACACGCAUUAUAUACAUAUGCAUAUACACAGCCAUAGCACUUACAUACAUAUAUACAUAUACAACAUCGGUCGAAGGGAAUUAUAAAAAAACCCACACGGGAAGCGAAUGAACGAUACGGAAUCGUGGAAAAAGUGCGUUAUAUGCUAACGGUGCAAUCAAAUCUUAAUGUAGCCAAGCGAUACUAACAUAUAUAGCACAUAAUAUAUACAUAUAUAUAUAUAUAUAUUUCUUACAUCCAUCAAGUAAAUCAAUUUUUACAAUCCGCAAACUUAAGCAGCUUCAAAAUCAACCAACGCAAUUACUUUAAGAGAUUUACUUUAUCGGUAAAUGGACAAACAUA